UAAAUAACUUGCUUAGCUUUACACAUGUAGUAAGUGGCAGAGCCAGGACUCAAGCCCAGGCAGUGGUGCUCCAGAGCCCAUGCUC
rnacentral:miRNA from 1 species